rnacentral:rRNA from 1 species
GAUAAACGCUGGCGGCAGGCUUAACACAUGCAAGUCGAGCGGGGUGAUGGUGCUUGCACUAUCACUUAGCGGCGGACGGGUGAGUAAUGCUUAGGAAUCUGCCUAUUAGUGGGGGACAACAUCUCGAAAGGGAUGCUAAUACCGCAUACGUCCUACGGGAGAAAGCAGGGGAUCACUUGUGACCUUGCGCUAAUAGAUGAGCCUAAGUCGGAUUAGCUAGUUGGUGGGGUAAAGGCCUACCAAGGCGACGAUCUGUAGCGGGUCUGAGAGGAUGGUCGGCCACACUGGGACUGGGACACGGCCCAGACUCCUACGGGAGGCAGCAGUGGGGAAUAUUGGACAAUGGGGGGAACCCUGAUCCAGCCAUGCCGCGUGUGUGAAGAAGGCCCUAUGGUUGUAAAGCACUUUAAGCGAGGAGGAGGCUCUUUUGGUUAAUACCCAAGAUGAGUGGACGUUACUCGCAGAAUAAGCACCGGCUAACUCUGUGCCAGCAGCCGCGGUAA